rnacentral:snRNA from 1 species
GUACUUGCUUUGGCAGCACAUAUACUAAAUUUGGACCAAUACAGAGAAGAUUAGCAUGGUCUCUGCACAGGAUGACAUGCAAAUUCAUGAAGCAUUCCAUAUUUUG